CUUUCUUUGUUGUUAGAAGACAAACAAGAUGAGAAUAUAGAGGGGGUGAGCGUGGGGAGAAGGGCCGAGGCUUUUCUCCUCUACAGGAAGGACUGUACCCAAACUCAGAUCCCAGGGAUCCAUGGGUGUUUUCCCCUGGCAGAAAGGCUUGUGACCUCCCAUUGGCCCCAGGGUUCUAGACAGAAGGAAUUCAUAAGCAAUUUAUGUAAACAAUUGGACUCAAACCUAGAUCAUCUUGCCAAGAAGCAGUUUAUUUGUUCCUGCAUUGAAAUGUUCCUUCAGUGAUUAAAAAAGAAGGAUGAAAAGGGGGAGGGUCACCCUUCAGAACAGAGCUCUCUGGCCUCCAUCACCCUCUCAGUAGGAUAAAGGGAGGAUGGAGAAACCAUGAUUUCUCUUGAUUCGUUGAUCUUGGACUUGGGUUUAUUUCCUCAAUAAAGCCUGUCCCUGACCUCAUGCCAUAGUGAUGACGUGAAGUUCAUUUCUAAUUCUGCUACACAUUAUGCUUUUUUUUCAAAACACUGAUUUUCCUAACAUGAUAGCUCACAAUCAGAUGGGAAUUAAUUCCUUGCAGGGUCUUUAAGGAAAUGGCAGAAGGGGCCAAUAAGGGUACCCAAACGUGGAAGACAUUCCUUAUGGGAACAAAGAUCACCUCCUAGGAGGAUUGAUGUUUAGGGUCAGCUGGGGGUAAAGAGGAAGCAGCUCUCCGGAUGUGGGCAGACGAUUGGAAGAGCAAGUGAUUGGGAAGCCAUGGUGACAGACACAAGAGUCAUCCUGAGAGGGCAGUUUGCUCAGUUUCUUAAAAAGAAAAGAGGGCCGGGCGCGGUGGCUCAGGUCUGUAAUCCCAACACUUUGGGAGGUGGAGGCAGGUGGAUCACGAGGUCAGGAGAUCCAGACCAUCUUGGCUAACACGGUGAACCCCGUCUUUACUAAAAAUACAAAAAAAUUAGCCAGGCGUGGUGGCAGGUGCCUGUUGUCCCCGCUACUGGGGAAGCUGAUGCAAGAGAAAGGUGUGAACCCGGGAGGCGGAGCUUGCAGUGAGCCGAGAUGGCACCACUGCCCUACAGCCUGGGCGACAGAGUGAGACUCCCUCUCAAACAAAAAAAAAAAA
rnacentral:lncRNA from 1 species